rnacentral:rRNA from 1 species
GGGGAAUAUUGGACAAUGGGCGAAAGCCUGAUCCAGCAAUGCCGCGUGAGUGAUGAAGGCCCUAGGGUUGUAAAGCCCUUUUGGCGGGGAAGAUAAUGACGGUACCCGCAGAAGAAGCCCCGGCUAACUUCGUGCCAGCAGCCGCGGUAAUACGAAGGGGGCUAGCGUUGCUCGGAAUCACUGGGCGUAAAGCGCACGUAGGCGGCUUGUUAAGUCAGGGGUGAAAUCCUGGAGCUCAACUCCAGAACUGCCUUUGAUACUGGCGAGCUUGAGUCCGGGAGAGGUGAGUGGAACUGCGAGUGUAGAGGUGAAAUUCGUAGAUAUUCGCAAGAACACCAGUGGCGAAGGCGGCUCACUGGCCCGGUACUGACGCUGAGGUGCGAAAGCGUGGGGAGCAAAC